rnacentral:rRNA from 1 species
UACGUAGGGGGCAAGCGUUGUCCGGAUUUAUUGGGCGUAAAGAGCGUGUAGGCGGCUUCACAGGUCCGCUGUGAAAACUCGAGGCUCAACCUCGAGCUGUCGGUGGAAACCGUGUGGCUAGAGUCCGGAAGAGGAGAGUGGAAUUCCCGGUGUAGAGGUGAAAUUCGUAGAUAUUCGCAAGAACACCAGUGGCGAAGGCGGCUCACUGGCCCGGUACUGACGCUGAGGUGCGAAAGCGUGGGGAGCAAACAGG